CCUACGGGUGGCAGCAGUGAGGAAUAUUGGUCAAUGGCCGAGAGGCUGAACCAGCCAAGUCGCGUGAGGGAUGACGGCCCUACGGGUUGUAAACCUCUUUUGUCGGGGAGCAAAGAGAGUCACGUGUGGAUGUUUGCAGGUACCGCAUGAAUAAGGACCGGCUAAUUCCGUGCCAGCAGCCGCGGUAAUACGGAAGGUCCGGGCGUUAUCCGGAUUUAUUGGGUUUAAAGGGAGCGUAGGCCGGUCUUUAAGCGUGCCGUGAAAUUUUGUGGCUCAACCAUGAGAGUGCGGCGCGAACUGGAGACCUUGAGUGCGCGGAAGGCAGGCGGAAUUCGUGGUGUAGCGGUGAAAUGCUUAGAUAUCACGAAGAACCCCGAUUGCGAAGGCAGCCUGCCGCAGCGUUACUGACGCUGAAGCUCGAAAGCGCGGGUAUCGAACAGGAUUAGAUACCCGGGUAGUC
rnacentral:rRNA from 1 species